CGAAGUAGGGAUGGCGCGUCAAGUGCCGCAGGAUGGGAAGUUGCCUGCGGACGAAGGGCAGACGGAUAAGGAUGAGUUGCAAAGGUAAAAUCAUUGCCUGACAACGAGUGCUUACAAGUGCCCGCGGUGCCAUACCCGCAUCCGUUG
rnacentral:ncRNA from 1 species